CCAUCAUUUAAAGAAAGCGUAAUAGCUCACUGGUCGAGUCGGCCUGCGCGGAAGAUGUAACGGGGCUAAACCAUGCACCGAAGCUGCGGCAGCGACGCUUAUGCGUUGUUGGGUAGGGGAGCGUUCUGUAAGCCUGCGAAGGUGUACUGUGAGGUAUGCUGGAGGUAUCAGAAGUGCGAAUGCUGACAUAAGUAACGAUAAAGCGGGUGAAAAGCCCGCUCGCCGGAAGACCAAGGGUUCCUGUCCAACGUUAAUCGGGGCAGGGUGAGUCGACCCCUAAGGCGAGGCCGAAAGGCGUAGUCGAUGGGAAACAGGUUAAUAUUCCUGUACUUGGUGUUACUGCGAAGGGGGGACGGAGAAGGCUAUGUUGGCCGGGCGACGGUUGUCCCGGUUUAAGCGUGUAGGCUGGUUUUCCAGGCAAAUCCGGAAAAUCAAGGCUGAGGCGUGAUGACGAGGCACUACGGUGCUGAAGCAACAAAUGCCCUGCUUCCAGGAAAAGCCUCUAAGCAUCAGGUAACAUCAAAUCGUACCCCAAACCGACACAGGUGGUCAGGUAGAGAAUACCAAGGCGCUUGAGAGAACUCGGGUGAAGGAACUAGGCAAAAUGGUGCCGUAACUUCGGGAGAAGGCACGCUGAUAUGUAGGUGAAGUCCCUCGCGGAUGGAGCUGAAAUCAGUCGAAGAUACCAGCUGGCUGCAACUGUUUAUUAAAAACACAGCACUGUGCAAACACGAAAGUGGACGUAUACGGUGUGACGCCUGCCCGGUGCCGGAAGGUUAAUUGAUGGGGUUAGCGGUAAC
rnacentral:rRNA from 1 species